UACGUAGGGUGCAAGCGUUAAUCGGAAUUACUGGGCGUAAAGCGUGCGCAGGCGGUCCGUUAAGACAGAUGUGAAAUCCCCGGGCUUAACCUGGGAACUGCAUUUGUGACUGGCGGACUCUAGUAUGGCAGAGGGGGGUAGAAUUCCACGUGUAGCAGUGAAAUGCGUAGAGAUGUGGAGGAAUACCGAUGGCGAAGGCAGCCCCCUGGGCCAAUACUGACGCUCAUGCACGAAAGCGUGGGGAGCAAACAGG
rnacentral:rRNA from 1 species